rnacentral:lncRNA from 1 species
AUAUGGAAAAAAGUACAAUAAUAUGUAACCAGUAAACAAUAGAGCUGGCAGUAGAUAUCAGUUCAGUUUAGCGUGACAGCCGCUAUGUCUUUAUAUUUUAUUGUGAUAAACACCAGCAUAUAGUACUCCUCUUAUACUGCCUGAUAACACUAGCUGGAAGUGGCCAUCAAGAACAUAAUUUUGUCAGGCAUAAUGGCACAUGACUAUAAUCCCAGGGACCUGAGAGUCUAAAGUAGGAGAAUCACAAGUUCAAGAACAGCCCCAACUUAAACAAGACCAUAUCUCAAAAUUAAAAAUAUAAAAAGGACUGAAAAUGUAGAGCAGUAGUGAAGUGUCACUGAGUCUAAUCCCCAGUAACAAACAAAAUAAAACACGAGUUCAGCCUCAGUGUUUGGGAUUAUUGUUGUCACCCAAAGCAGCACAUUGCCUUCAAUAUCCUUCCUGCCACUUUGCUAGUUGUGGGAGCAUCUGCAAAACUAAUAUAACAUAUGAUUCACAUAUCUAUUAGUGUGUUUUAGUCAGCUUUUUUUGUUGCUGUGACUAAAGGACCCGACCAGAACAACUGUAGGAGAGGAAAAGUUUGACGACUCAGUUUCAGGGGUCUUCCAUAGAAGGCCAGCUCCUUUCCUCUGGGCUGGAAGUGACACAGACCAUCACAGGAGAAGAGUGUGGUAGAGGGAGGCAGCUCACAUGAUAAUAAAUGCUCUCCAUUUACAACGUAUAUACCCCAUAGCCACACACCCAGGGAACUACUUCCUCUAGCCACACCCCACCUGCCUCUAGUUACCACUCAAUUAAUCCCAUCAGAGAUAAAUUCACUUAUCAGGUGAAGGCUAUAACCCAAUCAUUUCUCCUCCAAACCUUCUUGCAUUGUCUCACCAGUGAGCUUUUGGGGGAUGCCACAUCUAAACCAAAACAUAUUGGGUUGUGGAAGCAAGGCUAAUAAAACUGACUCACAAUUUAGGCACAAAAAAGAUGGCUGUUUAUUGCAAGAAAUGUGUAUUUGCCAUACUCUUAUGAAACAGCCUUACUUAAUGUUAGGCUUUUUACAGGCAAAGCUGAUUCUCAAUAUUUUCAUCUUAAUGAAGUUGUUGCUGUGUGCUCCUAGUCUGCCCUCAGCAGCACCAGCUGGCUCUUGAUAGUCAGUAAAAUGGCACCCAGAUUGCAGAGCUCUUGUUGCAAAGUUCAUGGGUGUUCCUCUUUCCCAUCCUAGGGACUCAAGCAUUAGACUACAGAUUCUAAUAUUUUUUAUUAUUUUUUUAAAAGCCCCAUACUAAGUGUACAGCCUAAUCAGCUCCAACAAAUAUCUAUACCUGUGUAACUACUACCCCUAUCAACACAAAGAUCAUUUCCAUCUCUCCUAAAAGUUUCCUCAUUUUCCUUUGCUGUUAAUUCCAUUUCCAUCACCAGACAUGGAUUACAGAGAUUAACCAUUGAUUUUUAUAUCUUUCAAAGGACAAAAAUUGACAUUUCUGAAAAAGCUUAAUUUCUUAAUUUUUCACUUCUUUCGGUUUGGCUUUUUGAGUCUCAUCUUUUAUCUAUUUAUCAACAUUUAGAAAUCUUUUCUUUUAUGUUUUCUUUUAUUUUUUAUUUUUUCUUCUUUAUCCAGAAUGUUUUCUGUGUUUUAUAGUUUUAGCUUUUUGAUUCAAGUCUAUUUUGAAUUAUUUUGUAUGUGGUGAGAGAUUAGAGUCAAAGCUAUUUGUUUUUUCACAAGAACAUCCAAAUUUCACCACUGUUUGUUUGAAUAAACUUCUUUCUUCAUUGCAUUACAUUGACAACUAUUAUGAAUCACUACACCAUGUAUUUAUGGGUCUAUUUUUUAGGAUAUCUAUUAUGUUUCAUUGAUUUAUGCUUUUCCAUUCAUUAGUAUGUCAUUAUCUUGAAUAGUGCAGCUAUAAUAAGUAAUAAGCCUUGAUAUCGGGUACUAUAAUUUCUAUUUUAUUAUUUUUUACUGAAUGAUCUGGCACUUUAAAUCAUUCAUGCUUCAUUAUAAAUAUUAGAAUCAAUUUGUCUCUUUUUUAAAAAACCUGCUACAUUGUGAUUGUCAAAACAUGGUGUACCCCUCCAUUUAUUUAGGUUAGUGUAGUUUUUAGCAAGUCUCAUACAUAUUUUGACAAAUUAUCCUUAAAUAUUUAAUAUUUGGAGUGUUAUUAUAAAUAGAAAGGUACUUUUAUCUUCCUCUAUAGAUGGUAUAUAAAAAUAUACUUAUGUUUUUAUUUUGAUCUCGUAUACUGGAACUUUGCUCAACUCAUAUAUUAUAAUAGCAUUUAAAUUGGUUCUUGGGGUUUUUCAUAUUCCAAAUUAUGUCUAGUGAGUAAAGAUAAUUUUGUAUAUGUAUUUUUCUAUAAGUAUUUGUUUCCUGGGGCUGGGGAUGUGGCUCAAGCGGUAGGCGCUCGCCUGGCAUGCUUGCGACCCGGGAUCGAUCCUCAGCACCACAUACAAACAAAGAUGUUGUGGCCGCCGAAAACUAAAAAAUAAAUAUUAAAAUUCUCUCUCUCUUUAAAAAAAAAAGUAUUUGUUUCCUUGUCUUUCUUUAUGACAUUGAC